UACGAAGGGGGGCUAGCGUUGCUCGGAAUCACUGGGCGUAAAGGGUGCGUAGGCGGGUCUUUAAGUCAGGGGUGAAAUCCUGGAGCUCAACUCCAGAACUGCCUUUGAUACUGAAGAUCUUGAGUUCGGGAGAGGUGAGUGGAACUGCGAGUGUAGAGGUGAAAUUCGUAGAUAUUCGCAAGAACACCAGUGGCGAAGCGGCUCACUGGCCCGAUACUGACGCUGAGGCACGAAAGCGUGGGGAGCAAACAGG
rnacentral:rRNA from 1 species